rnacentral:rRNA from 1 species
GGUGCAUGCCUCUAGCAUGAAGUCAGACAAGUGAACCCGCUGAAUUUAA